AUUGAACGCUGGCGGCAUGCCUUACACAUGCAAGUCGAACGGCAGCACGGGUGCUUGCACCUGGUGGCGAGUGGCGAACGGGUGAGUAAUACAUCGGAACAUGUCCUGUAGUGGGGGAUAGCCCGGCGAAAGCCGGAUUCAUACCGCAUACGAUCUACGGAUGAAAGCGGGGGUCCUUCGGGCCUCGCGCUAUAGGGUUGGCCGAUGGCUGAUUAGCUAGUUGGUGGGGUAAAGGCCUACCAAGGCGACGAUCAGUAGCUGGUCUGAGAGGACGACCAGCCACACUGGGACUGAGACACGGCCCAGACUCCUACGGGAGGCAGCAGUGGGGAAUUUUGGACAAUGGGCGAAAGCCUGAUCCAGCAAUGCCGCGUGUGUGAAGAAGGCCUUCGGGUUGUAAAGCACUUUUGUCCGGAAAGAAAUCCUUGGCCCUAAUACGGUCGGGGGAUGACGGUACCGUAAGAAUAAGCACCGGCUAACUACGUG
rnacentral:rRNA from 1 species